GGUUACACAAUAGUCUAUAUAAUCAAACGCACAUCACUAACGUCCUGUGAUGUGUUUGGGCCGAAGAAUUGUAGAAAUUAAAGAGGACCCGCACACACACACACACACACGCGAUUGCUCCACCACAUACCACAACAUAUAAUAACCAAACAAUGAACAAUAACAAACAAAACAUACUGUACCACCUCAUUAAACUUUGUGAGGGACACUUUCAGUCAGUCCUUGUGCAACACAAAUCUAAUUUGACACGGUAGCAGUUCAUAUUUGAGGCCAACUCCGGCAUUCAAUAAGAAGAAGACUAUUUCAGAAACAGUAAAAGUCUAAACAGAAAACUGGGACAGGAGGGUAGACAGAUGGGAAGCUUCAUCAUGGGACUGAUGACAGGAUGGGCAAGAAGCUUUAUUAAUCAAGUUGAGGUGAGAUUAGAUGUAGUUUUUGUGUGAAGCACUAACAAAUUCUUAGAUAAGGAUUACCAUCCACAGUGUUGGGAAGUAGUGAAAUACAGUACAACUAGUGAUGACAUUUUGCAGUAUCUUGGUAGUAGUUGAACUGAAUUUGAACUGAAUUCAAAUAUAGGUAGUGUUUUUAGUAGUUAAUGUCUUUUUUGUAUUUUUCGGCAUCAGGACUGCGUAAUUCUCACUUUAAAUCAUUGUUUUUAUGUUUAAUAGGCUAAAUGACACAUUACAGUGUGUUACCAUAUGACCUCAAAGUGAUCUGUUCAUGCAAUUUGUAGUCUGACAUUUUCGAUUUAAAUAUGAUAAUUUUUCAGUAAGUAGUUUAUGAAGUGAACUACUUUUUUCGAAGUAACUUUAGUUAAGUAAACUAUAUUUUUCUUAAGGGUAGCAUUAGUGCAGCCUAACUUCUUCCAGUGUGAAGUAAUUGGUAGCUUGGUAAACUAUAUUUUCAGAGUAGCUUCCUCAACACUGACCAUCCAUCAUAGUCAAAUCACCCCACCACCACAGGAAAAAAGCAGCGAAAGUGUCUGACAUAGCGACAUAAUGCCACAGGUGCUUCUUAUCCGUCGAGGUUUCUCAACACCGUGAGACAUUAUUCCCCUCCCUUUGGCGGUCGUUGCUUACAUUUUACAUUUACAUUUGAGUCAUUUAGCAGACGCUCUUAUCCAGAGCGACUUACAGUUGGUGCAUUCAUCUUAAGGUAGCUAGGUGAGACAAGGUGAGAAAACCAUAGAAAAUACAUUGAACCAAAAUAAUAGGAUUUUUUUCAGGCGGACUAUGAAGUGAAUGACGAAAUUAUACAACAAAAAUGCAACCAAAAGGCCAAACCGGACCACUCAACUUUAGUUUCAUCUGUCCACAUAAUAUUUUGCCAGAAACGCUGUGGAACAUCCAAUUGCACUUUUGUAAAUUUCACCAUGAACACCAUUCUUUUUUAGGGUUUUACGUAUCGUAGACUCGUCAACGGAGAUGUUAGCAUGUUCCAGAGAUUUCUGCAGAGGAAGCUCUUUUAUUGGCUAUCUGGAUGCACAGUGGGAGUGUGAAGGAGAUCUGCUCUUGCUUGACCCAGAUCGUCUUAAUCCCAGAGAGUUCCUGGUCUACCACCAUGGACUAUUCAAACUGGAGACUGAGCAAACAUUGUUUGUGCGUUGCCAGAGACCGCAGUCAGCGGGAGGAUUCUCUCUGCUCCUGUCACACGUCGCUGUUGGGGACAUGAGCUUUGACUCCAGUCCUGUCUUCCAAUGGGUGUUCUUUAAGGUGCUGCCAAACUCCACCCUGAACACACCAUCCCCACUGUCAAACAUGGUGGUGGCAGCAUCAUGGUUUGGGCCUGCUUUUCUUCAGCAGGGACAGGGAAGAUGGUUAAAAUUGAUGGGAAGAUGGAUGGAGCCAAA